GGGCUUGCCUGCAAACAAAGAGGGCGGAAACUGCUCGACUUCGGGGGCGGCUUCGACUUCCGCGGGCAGGAUCUCGGCUACAGCUUCUUCUUCGGGCGUCGGGUGCAGCUCGUAGAAGCCGUCAGCGAGAUGCAGCUCUACACGAAUGCAAUACAAGGGUUAGCUUAGACAGUUAUUUCAACAGCAACACUGGCUCUCCUGAGCCCAGAAACUCGCGACAAAGAGCAGGAGGUUGAGGCUGGUUGAGAGAGCUGAUGGUGAUCAUCGGUAAGGGUAGGAAGGGAACUAGUGGUCUGAUCCUUGAACUAGAGGAUGUGAUAACUGGGAUCCUCAGACGUAGGCGCUGAAGGGUUCCCACGUUUUACACAUACACCCUCGAGUUGAAGAAAAGGAUCACAGCCAAGCCCUCAGGCGAGGCGGACAAGGGUCGGCAGAACAGGCGGGGUCGGAUGAGACGGAACUGGGGUCGGGCGGAUAGGAGGGGUCGGGCGAGGCGGACUUAGGGUCGGCACUCACCUUCUUCCUGAAAGGAAAGCUUGGGGUUGGGAAGAGGCAGACUUGGGCGCGGAACUAAAGCUUCGAGCAGGGACUAAGAUUGGCGAUACUCCGGCGGCGGCGCUGCUUCUUGCGGAUCACAAGAGAGCUCUACGCAGCACAAGGGAGCACGCUGCUGGUGACUUGGAUGAACUGAGAAGGAACUGGGAGAUGAACUUUUCAAGAACUGGGUGGGUGGCGCUAGAAGCUUGAGCAGGGAGCUAGAGGAAGCUAAGGGCAACAAGGACGGAGGGAACUCUGGUGACGGGGGCAUUCCUUUUAUAACUGCUGGCGCAGGGGAACGGAAACGUCGCGGAGAGAGAGAAGGGGAGCGGCGCGAAGGCUGGGGAGAAGCAAUGGAGUGCUCUGUCGUGGCGGCGAUUGAGCAAACCGGGCGGUGCUGCAGAACU
rnacentral:lncRNA from 1 species